rnacentral:rRNA from 1 species
UACGGAGGAUCCGAGCGUUAUCCGGAUUUAUUGGGUUUAAAGGGUGCGCAGGCGGGAGAUUAAGUCGGCGGUGAAAUUUUGCAGCUCAACUGUAAAAGUGCCUUCGAUACUGGUUUCCUUGAGUGUGGAUGAAGUAGGCGGAAUUUGUGGUGUAGCGGUGAAAUGCUUAGAUAUCACGAGGAACUCCGAUUGCGCAGGCAGCUUACUAAACCACUACUGACGCUCAGGCACGAUGGCGUGGGGAUCAAACAGGAUUAGAUA